GGAGGGGUGGCUGAGUGGUUGAAGGCACUCGACUCGAAAUCGAGAGACCGCCCUUAAAGCGGUUCGUGGGUUCAAAUCCCACCCCCUCCGCCA
rnacentral:tRNA from 1 species